ensembl:lncRNA uncharacterized LOC115538433
AUGCCUGACUUUUGUGCAGCCUACGGAUGCGUCAAUCUACGAACUCUCCAAACGAGAACCCGUGGGAUGACCUUUCACCUGUUUCCCAAAAACAAAACGAGAAGGAUUAAGUGGGAAAUGGCCCUAAGAAGGGACAGUUUUACUGCUUCUGACAGAUCACUGCUCUGCAGUGACCACUUCAGGAUUGAGGACUUUGACAGGACGGGGCAGACUGUCCGGCUUAAAGAUGGUGUUGUGCCAACCCUUUUCAACUUUCCAGCUCGUCUUCAAAGGGUAUGUGUAUCAUUGACCAACAAUAAUUUAAGGUGUAUAAGAUUGAUGUAUCAAUAUAAAUAUGUGAUUAAAUGUCACACUUUAGUUUUAGUGUCUGUAAGUUAUGUAAUGUGUUGUUUAUUACAGCAUAUUUUAGACACUCAAAUCUUCUUUACUUGUGUUUAUUUUAGUCGGUAGCAACCAGAAGCGCAACCAAAUCUAAAAGAGCGGAAGAGAACCUGGCAAUGGACUUGAUGCCUGAUGUUGUGAGUAUUUUCAUGUGGAAUGUCACAAACUAAUUAGAGAAUCAUAUGGCUUGUUAUAUCAAAACCUUAAUCUUGAUGGUACCCAGGUCUAUGAUGAUGUUACUAGUCUUGGAGCCCAAUAUUAUUUAAGGGUGGUACUCUGUGUAAAUAGUUUGAAAAACACUGUCUAUCUCACUUUCUCACUCAUUCACUGGAAUGAAUAAACAUGUGUGAACAUUGAAACUACACCCAGGGGUAUGCAACCUUUUAUAUUUUUGUCCAGAGCCACAAAACGCCUUAUAAGUGGAGAAGCCUGUACAAUUUCUUAAAAGUGUACUGUUGUGUUUUCUGUUGGAGAAUUGGAGGACCUAAAAAUUAAUUCAGGCUCACAGAAUUCAAAAGUGAAGAUUGAAUUGUUGAAAAAGUAAGUUAUUAAUUUCCGUAUUACUAUUAUUUAUAUAUUUGUAUGUUUUGCCAAAACAACAGGAAGCUACUGGAGAGAGGAGAUUGAGCAGCAAGUGGCAGGACACUGACCACUUGUAUGCAUUGCCUGCUUGCCCUUCCCGUGAGGAUGGACACUGGGAUUUCAGCUGCCUUCAGUGUGCAGAAUGUAUAUAGUUCUCUGCAAACCUAUGGUGGUACCAUGCCUUCAGUGUGCAUAUUGUAUAAAGUUCUCUGCAAACCUAUGGUGGCAUCCUGCCUUCAAUGUGUCUUGAACAACCACAAAGGUUGCACAUAUUAUGUUCAUAUUUUAUCGUAUUUGCCUAAUGCAUAUUUGACUGUAGAUAGAUUUGAGUGAAGUAACCAACACAAUAGAUUGCUGAGUUUUAGUAACCCAUGUAUUGAUUUAACAUAAAUAACAUGAAUACCUUGUGCAUGUGUGUUUUUAUUGCACCUAUCUGUUCUGUUUAAUGUUAAUUUCAUAUGAAAACACAUGGUUUUAAUUACACAAAUACAUCUCUGUUCAGGGUGGGGAAUACAUCUUGCAGCUUUUGUUGACGUAUAUUUGUAAAGGGAAAUCUUGUACCUAUUUUAGAACAUUAUUCUAUUUUUCUUAGAACCAAAGUAUUCAUAAGUAUGUACUGUCAUGCCUACAUAUCUGACGUUUAUAAUAAACUAAACCGUUUGAAAAUCUGUUAAGAA